rnacentral:rRNA from 1 species
UACGAAGGGGGCUAGCGUUGUUCGGAAUUACUGGGCGUAAAGGGCUCGUAGGCGGCCAACUAAGUCAGACGUGAAAUCCCUCGGCUUAACCGGGGAACUGCGUCUGAUACUGGAUGGCUUGAAUCCGGGAGAGGGAUGCGGAAUUCCAGGUGUAGCGGUGAAAUGCGUAGAUAUCUGGAGGAACACCGGUGGCGAAGGCGGCAUCCUGGACCGGCAUUGACGCUGAGGAGCGAAAGCCAGGGGAGCAAAGCGGGG